rnacentral:rRNA from 1 species
UACAGAGGGUGCAAGCGUUAAUCGGAAUUACUGGGCGUAAAGCGUGCGUAGACGGUUACAUAAGUCAGAUGUGAAAGCCCCGGGCUCAACCUGGGAAUUGCAUUUGAGACUGCGUAGCUAGGGUGCGGAAGAGGGAAGCGGAAUUCCCGGUGUAGUGGUGAAAUGCGUAGAUAUCGGGAGGAACACCAGUGGCGAAGGCGACUUCCUGGCCUGUUCUUGACGCUGAGGCGCGAAAGCGAGGGGAGCAAACGGG